GCGGGCGUAGCUCAGUUGGUAGAGCCCCAGUUUGUGGUAUUGGUUGUCGCGGGUUCGAGACCCGUCGCUCGCC
rnacentral:tRNA from 1 species